UGCCUGAGAAAAUAUUUGUGGAGUAGGAUUUCACACCAUUUUGGCAUAUGUCAAGGGCAUGGCCCAAAUGAUGUGAAGAUAGUAUUGUAAUCUGCAUUGUAAGAAGAAUGACACUAAAGUUUUGAGCUCAAACUUGGAGGCCAAGACAGAUGAAUCUAAAAUCCACCUUUACUACUUAAGCUCCCCUUCUGUUUUUACACCCAUCCAGAAGUUCAUUUUCUUAAUGGAAAGACCAGUGACUGUGAGUUGUGGAAUAUGAAUGAAAGUGAUUGAGGACCUGAAGACAUGCCUCACAUAUUCAAUAGAUCACAGAGCAAUUCUGGUUUUCAGAAUUUACAGCUAACCCCUUAUGGAAGUGCAGGCUGUGGCACUGAAGAGAAAUCUACUCCUGGUGUCUCAACCAUGAGAUGGCCUCUCAUCUGUAUUCUUCACAGUUGAGCAAUUUCAUCCAUUACGAAUCAACAAGUCUUCUCAAUCAAGGUUAGACAGGCUUUCAGGUUUUCCUGGCCACACAACUUCUAUUGCAACUACUCGACUUUACAGGUAUAAUGCAAAAUGUAUCAGAAACAAGAAGCAAA
rnacentral:lncRNA from 1 species